CGGCAGGCUUAAUACAUGCAAGUCGAGGGGCAACAGGGUGUAGCAAUACACUGCUGGCAACCGGCAAACGGGUGCGGAACACGUACACAACCUGCGGUUUAAAGGGGGAUAGUCUAGAGAAAUUUGGAAUAAUACCCCAUAAGAUAGUUGAGCGGCAUCGCUUAAUUAUUAAACUCCGGCGUUAGACCCUGGGUGUGCGUCUGAUUAGGUAGUUGGAGAGGUAACGGCUCACCAAGCCAACGAUCAGUAGCUGAUGUGAGAGCAUGAUCAGCCACACGGGCACUGAGACACGGGCCCGACUCCUACGGGAGGCAGCAGUAAGGAAUAUUGGACAAUGGACGCAAGUCUGAUCCAGCCAUGCCGCGUGAAGGAUGAAGGUCCUCUGGAUUGUAAACUUCUUUUAUGGGGGGCGAAAACGGAGAAUUCUUUCUCCACUGACGGUACCCCAUGAAUAAGCACCGGCUAACUCCGUGCCAGCAGCCGCGGUAAUACAGAGGUGGCAAGCGUUGUUCGGAAUUACUGGGCGUAAAGGGCGCGUAGGCGGUCUCGUAAGUCCCGUGUGAAAUCCCUCGGCUCAACUGAGGAACUGCACGGGAAACUGCUUGGCUCGAGUUCGGGAGAGGGAAGCGGAAUUCCGGGUGUAGCGGUGAAAUGCGUAGAUAUCCGGAGGAACACCGGUGGCGAAGGCGGCUUCCUGGACCGACACUGAC
rnacentral:rRNA from 1 species